CGUGUUGCGGGGAGGGUAGAGGUGGAGACUGGCUUCCUGGACCUUCCCUGAGCUGAGUCUUCAGUAAUGAGCAGGAGUAAGAGCGCAAGGGCGUGGGGCUGGCAGAGUGCUGCAGGCAGAGGCCAGGAGAGAAAAUGGGCACCUUGUCACUCCUCAUUUCCAGGAAGACUUCUUUCCCUUCAAAACCAGCACAUGCUCCUCCCCUUGUCCCUCCAGCUCCCUGGUGGGCAGCCCAUCUGUUCCCGCCUUCUGUUCCUCAGCACCCUCUGGGGCCUUUCAGACUCAGGAAGGGAAAUGGGGGAGGGAGAAGGCCCAACACCCUCAGGCGGUUUUAGCAGCAGCAAUGAGGACUCUGCAAGCUGCCCUGGAGGAUGGGGCAGGGAGCCCAUCUCCAGAGACCCACUUGAGAAGCAUCAAUGGGAAGUAGCCGCAAUGGCAAAUACACUUGCAGUCUAA
rnacentral:lncRNA from 1 species